CUGCCUGCUGAUGAUAACGGGUAGUGGUGAGAGAAAGUCCGGGCUCCUUCGGAAAGAAUGCCGGGUAACAACCGGGCACAAUCUGGCAGCUGCAGUUUUUCUGCAUAGCCCAGUGCGUGACAGAUAGUGCAACAGAAAUACUACCGCCCGCCAAAAGGCGAGUAAGGGUGAAAAGGCAGUGUAAGAGACUACCGCAGUUCUGGUAACAGAGCUGGCUUGUAAACCUCAUUCGGAGCAAGAUUAAGCAGCAGUUAUGUUUUUCCGAGCAAUACUGCGGGUAAAUCGCUGGAGCUGAAUGGUAACAUUCAGUGCGGAUAGAUGGUUAGUACUGUCACUCUCUUUUUAGGGGGUAACAGGAGACAGAACCCGGCUUAUUGUUCCAUC
rnacentral:RNase_P_RNA from 1 species